rnacentral:lncRNA from 1 species
UUGAGAAAAAUGAUGGGGUUGAGGAAUGCAAAAAAGAACAUAACCUAGUGGUCAGAGAAUACAAACUACCAAUUCCAUAUCUGGUAAAGUUGAAGAAAGACCGCUGUAAUACCCAAUUUUUUCCCCGGGCCCAAUCUAAAACCCAAAAUAAAUAAACCCACUAAUUUAACCCAAUUACAAUACAACCCAAAUAGCCCAAUUACAGAAACCCAAACCCAUAUUAAAAAAAAUAUAAAAAAAACCUAGCUUAAGAAGCAGUAAGCUUCAGCCGCACGCCCAACAGCAGCCUCCCUAACUGCCGCCACAUCUUCC